CAAUGCCUAAGAAUGAGUUGUCCUCAUCUCUUUGGCUGCUACCAUGAAGUUCCAGUCUGAGUGAUUAAUAAAUAACAGGCAAACCCUUCUUACACUUCUGGAGGUUGGGAAGUCCACAAUCAAGUUGCCAGCACAGUCGGGGCCUAAAGGAUCCGAGUGUCCUGCGUGUAUUUCUUGCUGGCGAGGAAUACAGAGCGGGCACGGGACAUAUGGUGCUGAAACCCGGGACGCUUAACAUCUCCAGCACCACAGAGACCCCUUGGCUACAGGGCGGAUUCAGAACUGCAGGAUGGUAAAUUCGGAGAGGUAUGAUUUUUCUGGACUUUGGCUUGGGACAAUCUUAAAGAAGUCCAAAAUUACAUAUCAGAAACCGAAUGUAAUGAAAGAAAUUCGGAGAGGUAUGAUUUUUCUGGACUUUGGCUUGGGACAAUCUUAAAGAAGUCCAGAAUUACAUAUCAGAAACCGAAUGUAAUGAGAAAAAUUCGGAGAGGUAUGAUUUUUCUAGACUUUGGCUUGGGAAUGUUGCUAUUGUGGGAGGUUAAUAUAGAGGCUUCUAUGCUUUUACUAGGAGCUAUUUUGACUUUUCUCACUGUUGUAACAAUCUUAAAGAAGUCCAAAAUUACAUAUCAGAAACCGAAUGUAAUGAGAGAUGGGGCGCGCCUAACAAUAAAAUAUAAGAAAAAAGGACCUCCCGGGAUGUCUAGUGACAUGGGAGUGUAUGUAAGAAGAGAAACUACAACGUAUAAGAAAAAAGGACCUCCCGGGGUGUCUAGUGACAAGAGAGUGUAUACAGCAACAAAUAAGAAAAAAAGACCUCCUGGAAUGUCUACUGACAAGGGAGUAUAUAAAGCUUUAAAUCUUAAUAGCUCUGAUAACUCUAAAAGCUCAAGAGAUAAAGUUUUAAAAGGAACAGCUCAGCUGGAUGAGGGAGAGACAGAGAAGGAGGGAAAAAGAAUGGGAAAUGGCCGGUCACACCCCGGUAAAUUUAGGAGAGAUGAGGAACCUAGCCUCUGCCCUGCAACGAAACUGAAAGCCUUGGAGCUGAGCAGCUCAGACUCUAAGAUUUUAGACUCUAACAAGGAAGCAGAGCUAGAGAAAGAAGCAGCACGGCCAAAAAUGCCAGCGGGUGUGCUUCCAUCAGCACCCCCACUAUUUGAAACCGACUCCUUCUUACCAUCAGAGG
rnacentral:lncRNA from 1 species